CUCCCUGAUUGUCAGAAUCGGUUACCCUCGCUGGUCUGAGAUGGGGAAGGUGGAGAAGGACCCAGACACCCACCCGGGGGAACUCAGGCCCAGCGCUCGCCCAGGUCUGCCUUCAGCCUGGAUCUGGAGGGUUUCGGGUUGCUCCUCCCCGCCCGCCCGCCCGCAUGGUUUUGGUUGGUUGGAUGGCUGAAUGAAACACAACCUUGCCUGCAGACAUCAAAGCCUGUCUCCAGCCGUAGCAGGCUCUGCCUCCAGCCUUUCGUCUCUCCGGCAUUUGUAAAAUGUUGAUGGCCAAGCAUGAUACCUCAUGCCUGAGACGCCAGCUCUCAGGAGGCCCCCGGCAAGUUCAAGGCCAGCUUGCUCUACAUGAUCCAAAGAAGCGUCUUUCUCUGAUUCCUUUUAUCUGGAAGAACUGAGAGGAGACGGGCGAACGGUUGUGAGAAUCUCUUUAAGGGGCAGUCCUGGAAUGAGUGAAGGUCCCUCAAAACACAGAGACCUUGGGACUGGAGAGAUGGCUCAGCGGUUAAGAACACUGACUGCUCUUCCAAAGGUCCUGAGUUCAAUUCCCAGCAACCACAUGGUGGCUCACAACCAUCUGUAAUGAGAUCUGACGCCCUCUUCUGGUCUUCAGACACACAUGUAAGAAACUGCUGUAUACAUAAUGAAUAAAUAAAUCUUUAAAAAAAAAAAACACAGAGACCCAUCUGCCUCCACCUCUAGGUUACCAGGACUAGAGUCCUGCACCACCACACCCAGUGAUCCAAUUUCUUUU
rnacentral:lncRNA from 1 species